rnacentral:rRNA from 1 species
ACACGUAGGAGGCAAGCGUUAUCCGGAUUUACUGGGCGUAAAGCGCGUGCAGGCGGUCUGGUAAGUUGGAUGUGAAAGCUCCCGGCUCAACUGGGGGAGGUCGUUCAAAACUGCCGGACUAGAGGACGGUAGAGGGAGGUGGAAUUCCCGGUGUAGUGGUGAAAUGCGUAGAUAUCGGGAGGAACACCAGUGGCGAAGGCGGCCUCCUGGGCCGUUCCUGACGCUAAGACGCGAAAGCGUGGGGAGCGAACGGGAUUAGAAACCCGAGUAGUCC